rnacentral:lncRNA from 1 species
GGCGUCACAAGGAAAGCUGAGCAGGCAAUUGCUGCCCCGCCCACUCUGGGAAGAGGGGCGGGGCCGCCCGCUCCAGAGGGACGGAAGCGGCGGGGCCGCCGGAUCCAGGGACAAUGGGGUGGGGCGGGCUUUCCCUGGGUGGGCGCAGCGGCUUCCUGGGUCCCCCUCACGCUCUGGGUCAGAGUUCCUUUACAGGCGGACCUGAGAGGCAACUCACCGACUCCUGCCCUGGACCCUCCUGCGCCACUGAACCCCCUGACCUGGGAGCCUCGGAACCUAGGGCUCAGGAGAGCGGCCGUGGGUCCCAUCAGGCUUUCCCCUCGGAUCCUCUGCAGAUGAACCAGGACUUAUCCGAAGGUACCAAGUGAACUUCUAGGAAAAGUCCAAUUCUCAGAUGCUGGAUGUCUUCCAAAAAUGAAGCAAAUUAGUAACUUAGUAGCUGAGUCAACUAAUCCUGUUAGAUGGUCAACACUGGUUUUUUUAUUUUAAUAUUUUUAAGUGGCAACUCUAGUGUGUGAGAAAAUUAAUGUGACAGCUGAAUUUGUAGAAAGCUGCUUUGACUCUCUUGGGCCCCUUCAUAAGCCCUGGAACUAAAUAAAAGUCUAGUGAAUACAGGUAUAAUGCUUACAACUGUAAUGAUGAAUAAUAA